rnacentral:rRNA from 1 species
UACGGAGACCCCUAGCGUUGUUCGGAUUCACUGGGCUUAAAGCGGGUGUAGGCGGAACGGCAAGUAUUGGGUGAAAGCCCCGGUCUCAACCCGGGAAUUGCCUGAUAUACUGCCGUUCUUGAGGCAGGUAGGGGUCACUGGAACCUUAGGUGGAGCGGUGAAAUGCGUAGAUAUCUAAGGGAACGCCGGUGGCGAAAGCGGGUGACUGGGCCUGUUCUGACGCUGAGACCCGAAAGCGUAGGUAGCAAACGGG